UAUACUCUCAUUCCUGAGUAGGACAC
rnacentral:piRNA from 1 species